AUACUGGAUUAAGAGAAGUGGCAUUAGAGACACUCCUAGAGAUCCUGUGCAGAGGUGCAGCCGACGGUAAGAGAGAGAAUGGACUCAGAGAGUGUACUGGUGAUGUAGCUAACAAUGAGUUGGUCUUGUUGGUACCACUGAGCAUAGGCGGAAUUGGUUUGGGUAAGAGUGGCGAUGGUGGUUGUGGGUGUUGUGGAGGUUUGGGUAAAAGGUUGUUCAUGAGUGCCAUCAAUAAAUUUCCAUAUAGGUCAUGCAUGACUGACUAAAAAACGUUUGAGUUGGCAGAGCCAAAAGAGAUAGUUGGAGUCAGUAAGCUUGAUAAAAUGAGAAGAGUUGG
rnacentral:lncRNA from 1 species